GCUCGUGUAGUCUAGUUUGGUCUAGGAUAAAAGCUUGUCACGCUUUAGACGCGGGUUCAAAUCCCGCCGCGGGCG
rnacentral:tRNA from 1 species